AUGGAGCACCGCGUCCCUUACAUAACAUCCCGGGCAAGCGCAGCCCAGCGCGGUGGCGGGCACAGCGCACGCGGGCGCACGCACAGGGUUCGACUCGGCCUCGGCGCGGGCUCCCUUCCCGCAGCCCGAGGCACCUCGGCGCCGCAGGAGUCGGCGGACCCCGACCCGCCUGGUCCCCCGCGCCGCGCGCUGCACCGCCUCGCAGACUCCGACUCCGGCGCCCAGACGUGCGGGCGGCGCCCCUCAGCCUCCCCGGGCGGGCGAGCGCUCCGGCAGGGACGACCCGCCGCCCCGUUCCCUUCCUCCCAGAGACCAUCUGGGGACAAUUUCCCCAAAGUCCCCCAAAUGGCCCUGCCUGCAGUCGCCGGCGGCGCCCUGCGCUCCUCUCUGAGCGCAGCGGUCGCGUCAAGCCCCCGCUGUACCCCUGCCCCGGUCCUCCGGUCACCCACACGCCCGGCUUCUGCAACUUUUUCCGCCCCUGGGAGGAGGCGCCCGCGUUCUCUCCCCUGUAGGCGCUACCCGCAGCAAACCGCAGCGCAGGGACCCGCGGGAGUCGGGUGGGCCCCUGCCGAAAAGCGCGCGGCCUCCCCGGCGAGCAGGACCCGGACCCUGCACGGGCGUCCGCAGGCUCCCGAGCUGCGGCCCCUGCCCGGGCCCCGACGGCGGUGCGCGCAGGAGCGCGAAUCGAGCCGCGGUGCCUGCGGGCGCCCCUCGGGAGCCCGUGCCGCAGCCCGGUGCCUCCAAGGUCCCCGCGGCCCAUCGGGCCCCUCGCGCCCUCUCCCCCGCGGCGCGCCCGGCCGCGGCCACUGUCACGGCCCCCGCAGGACUCACCGCAAGCGCUCGGCACUCUGCAGUCCUGGCGUCAGCGGCUGGCGAGCGCAGGCGGCGGCGCGCGGACCUCGGAAAGCCGGAGAGCCGCCGGGCGGCGCGGCGUCCGGGAGGCGGCGCGGGCUGCGGGCUGCGGCGGAGACGCUCGGCCCCCGCGCCCCGCCCCAGGCCUGGCCCCGGCCGGCGCGAGCUAAAACGCGGAGCGCGGAUACGCCCCGGCGCACGGAUCCGGGCCGCCCGGCGCGCCCACGCGCAGCCCGGCUCGGCCGCGAGCUGCGAGGUCGGCGCGGGACCCGGGCGCGCGGGGCGAGAAAAGGGGAGACGGAGGGACGCGGGGCGGGGCGCGCGGGGCAGGCGCGGGCUCCUCGCAGGGGGCUGCCGGUCUGGGCGGGGCUCGUGCAAGUUCACGCCGCGCGGCGCGGGUGCUCAAGUGCUGCGCUGGUGCCGCCCCGCCCCGCCCCCAAUUUUAUGCUCCUCUCUCUGACCAGCAAUCCCGGUGGAUUGCAGGACAGGAGGCGUGCAGGGGGGAAGCGGGCAGCCCAGGUUUCCGAUUUACUGGCCUCGGCCAGAGUGGGGUCUGCGCGCUGA
rnacentral:lncRNA from 1 species